GACGAACGCUGGCGGCGUGCCUAAUACAUGCAAGUAGAACGCUGAAGAGAGGAGCUUGCUCUUCUUGGAUGAGUUGCGAACGGGUGAGUAACGCGUAGGUAACCUGCCUUGUAGCGGGGGAUAACUAUUGGAAACGAUAGCUAAUACCGCAUAACAAUGGAUGACACAUGUCAUUUAUUUGAAAGGGGCAAUUGCUCCACUACAAGAUGGACCUGCGUUGUAUUAGCUAGUAGGUGAGGUAAUGGCUCACCUAGGCGACGAUACAUAGCCGACCUGAGAGGGUGAUCGGCCACACUGGGACUGAGACACGGCCCAGACUCCUACGGGAGGUAGCAGUAGGGAAUCUUCGGCAAUGGGGGCAACCCUGACCGAGCAACGCCGCGUGAGUGAAGAAGGUUUUCGGAUCGUAAAGCUCUGUUGUAAGUCAAGAACGGGUGUGAGAGUGGAAAGUUCACACUGUGACGGUAGCUUACCAGAAAGGGACGGCUAACUACGUG
rnacentral:rRNA from 1 species